rnacentral:rRNA from 1 species
GAGACACGGCCCAGACUCCUACGGGAGGCAGCAGUAGGGAAUCUUCCGCAAUGGACGAAAGUCUGACGGAGCAACGCCGCGUGAGUGAUGAAGGCUUUCGGGUCGUAAAACUCUGUUGUUAGGGAAGAACAAGUGCUAGUUGAAUAAGCUGGCACCUUGACGGUACCUAACCAGAAAGCCACGGCUAACUACGUGCCAGCAGCCGCGGUAAUACU